rnacentral:rRNA from 1 species
GAUGAACGCUAGCUACAGGCUUAACACAUGCAAGUCGAUGGGAAACGGCAUUACGUGCUUGCACUUUUUGGACGUCGACCGGCGCACGGGUGAGUAACGCGUAUCCAACCUUCCCAUGACUAAGGGAUAACCUGCCGAAAGGCAGACUAAUACCUUAUGGUCUUCACUGACGGCAUCAGAUGUGAAGUAAAGAUUUAUCGGUUAUGGAUGGGGAUGCGUCUGAUUAGCUUGUUGGCGGGGUAACGGCCCACCAAGGCAACGAUCAGUAGGGGUUCUGAGAGGAAGGUCCCCCACAUUGGAACUGAGACACGGUCCAAAAUCGUACGGGAGGCAGCAGUGAGGAAUAUUGGUCAAUGGGCGAGAGCCUGACCCAGCCAAGUAGCGUGCAGGAUGACGGCUGUAUGGGUUGUAAACUGCUUUUGUAUGGGGAUAAAGUCCAUCACGUGUGAUUGUUUGAAGGUACCAGAAGAAUAAGGACCGGCUAAUUACGUG